rnacentral:rRNA from 1 species
UACGAAGGGGGCUAGCGUUGUUCGGAAUUACUGGGCGUAAAGCGCACGUAGGCGGAUAUUUAAGUCAGGGGUGAAAUCCCAGAGCUCAACUCUGGAACUGCCUUUGAUACUGGGGUAUCUUGAGUAUGGAAGAGGUAAGUGGAAUUGCGAGUGUAGAGGUGAAAUUCGUAGAUAUUCGGCAGGAACACCAGUGGCGAAGGCGGCUUACUGGUCCAUACUGACGCUGAG